rnacentral:rRNA from 1 species
GACGAACGCUGGCGGCGUGCUUAACACAUGCAAGUCGAGCGGUAAGGCUCCUUCGGGAGUACACGAGCGGCUAACGGGUGAGUAACACGUCAGUAAUCUGCCCUCCACUUCGGGAUAACCACCGUAAACGGUGGCUAAUACCUAAUACGACCAGUCUUCGCAUGAGGUGCUGUUGGAAAGUCUUUUCGGUGACGGAUGUGCUCGCGGCCUAUCAGCUGGUUGGUGGGGUAAUGGCCUACCAAGGCUUCGACGGGUAGCCGGCCUGAGAGGGUGACCGGCCACAGAGGGACAGAGACACGGCGAAGACUCCUCCGGGAGGCAGCAGGGGGGAAGAUUGGAAAAUGGGCGAAAGCGUGAUCCAGCAACGACGCGUGAGGGAUGACGGCAUUCGGGUUGUAAACCUAUUGAAGUACCGACGAAGGGCCCUGUCGGGUGGUGACGGUAGGUACAGAAGAAGGAACGGCUAACUACGUG